rnacentral:rRNA from 1 species
GAACGCUGGCGGCUAUGCCUAACACAUCGCAAGUCGAACGAAGGCUUCGGCCUUAGUGGCGCACGGGUGCGUAACGCGUGGGAAUCUGCCCUUGGGUUCGGAAUAACAGUGAGAAAUUACUGCUAAUACCGGAUGAAGUCGAAAGACCAAAGAUUUAUCGCCCGAGGAUGAGCCCGCGUAGGAUUAGCUAGUUGGUGAGGUAAGAGCUCACCAAGGCGACGAUCCUUACCUGGUCUGAGAGGAUGAUCAGCCACACUGGGACUGAACACGGCCCA